rnacentral:rRNA from 1 species
AGAGUUUGAUCCUGGCUCAGGAUGAACGUUGGCGGCGUGCCUAAUACAUGCAAGUCGAACGAGAAGCUUUGACCUCGGUUGAAGCGGAGAGUGGCGCACGGGUGAGUAACACAUGGCUGACCUGCCCUUCAGAGGGGGACAACCACUAGAAAUGGUGGCUAAUACCCCAUAUGCUCACGGAGUUUAGAAAUUUGUGAGGAAAAGCUGAGGCGCUGAAGGAGGGGGCUGUGGUCCAUCAGCUAGUUGGUGUGGUAAAGGCGCACCAAGGCGAAGACGGAUAGGGGGCCUGAGAGGGUGACCCCCCACAUGGGCACUGAGACACGGGCCCAACUCCUACGGGAGGCAGCAGUAAGGGAUAUUGCGACAAUGGACGAAAGUCUGACGCAGCAACGCCGCGUGUGGGAUGAAGGCCUUCGGGUUGUAAACCACUUUUCUGUGGGAAGAGGAAGGACGGUACCACAGGAAUAAGUCUCGGCUAACUACGUGCCAGCAGCCGCGGUAAAACGUAGGAGGCGAACGUUAUCCGGAUUUACUGGGUGUAAAGCGCGUGCAGGCGGAUGCGUAAGUCGUGCGUGAAAGCGCCCAGGCUCAACCGGGCGAGGACGUGCGAAACUGCGUGACUAGAGGUAGGUAGAGGCGUGUGGAAUUCCGGGUGUAGUGGUGAAAUGCGUAGAUAUCCGGAGGAACACCAGUGGCGAAGGCGACGCGCUGGACCUAACCUGACGCUAAGACGCGAAAGCAUGGGUAGCGAACGGGAUUAGAAACCCCGGUAGUCCGUGCCGUAAACGAUGCAUACUAGAUGUUGCGGUGAUGAGCUGCAGUGUCGAAGCAAACGUGAUAAGUAUGCCACCUGGGGACUACGGCCGCAAGGUUAAAACUCAAAGGAAUUGACGGGGGCCCGCACAAGCAGCGGGGCGUGUGGUUUAAUUCGAGCUACACGAAGAACCUUACCUGGGCUUGACAUAUAAGUGGUAGGGAAGCGAAAGCGGACCGACCUUCGGGAGCUUAUACAGGUGCUGCAUGGCUGUCGUCAGCUCGUGUCGUGAGAUGUCCGGUUAAGUCCGGUAACGAGCGCAACCCUCGCCGUUAGUUACAAGUGUCUAACGGGACUGCCCGUUGAACGCGGGAGGAAGGUGGGGAUGACGUCAAGUCAGCAUGGCCUUUAUGUCCAGGGCUACACACACGCUACAAUGGCCGGUACAAUGGGUCGCCAACCCGCGAGGGGGAGCAAAUCCAACAAAGCCGGUCUCAGUUCAGAUUGCAGGCUGAAACUCGCCUGCAUGAAGUCGGAGUUGCUAGUAACCGCAGGUCAGCUAUACUGCGGUGAAUACGUUCCCGGGCCUUGUACACACCGCCCGUCACGUCAUGGAAGCUGGUCAUGCCUGAAGUCGGUGGGUUAACCGUAAGGAGACAACCGCCUAAGGCAGGGCUG